rnacentral:lncRNA from 1 species
AUCAACAAACCAAACUGCCAGGCUGCACCCCUAAGAAGGAAAACAGAACAUGAGCUGUGGUCAGACCUUCCAAGAAAACAGCAGAAACGAGGAACGGCAGCCAAGUUUCCCAUGCAGGCCAGUUCCAGUUGGCAAGAUGCUGAAGUACCCCCCCCCCAUGUAUUGGGGAGAAGGCUCCAUGUGGCAGACAGUGAAGCAGAGGUUUCCUCUGCAGCUGCCCUCUCUCAGGCUGCUGCCUGGGCCCCAAACCCCGCAAGCAAAGCUGGCAGAAGAUGGCUGCCAACAAGCUCCACUGCAAAGAGAGUCGCUGUGAAGGCAUGUUUGGAGGCAGAGAAUAUUAUUCAAGGCAGUAAGAAUAUACAGAAGCUGGAGAGACGGCUCAGCGGUUAAGAGCACUGACUACUAUUCCAGAGAUCCUGAGUUCAAAUCCCAGCAACUACAUGGUGGCUCACAAUCAUCUAUAAUGAGAUCUGAUUCUCUCUUCUGGGAUGUCUGAAGAAAGCUACAGUGUACUUACAUAUAAUAAAUAAAUUAAUUAAAAAAAAAAGAAUAUGCA